rnacentral:rRNA from 1 species
UACAGAGGGUGCAAGCGUUAAUCGGAAUUACUGGGCGUAAAGCGUGCGUAGACGGUUAUGUAAGUCAGAUGUGAAAGCCCCGGGCUCAACCUGGGAAUUGCAUUUGAGACUGCAUAGCUAGGGUGCGGAAGAGGGAAGCGGAAUUUCCGGUGUAGCGGUGAAAUGCGUAGAUAUCGGAAGGAACACCAGUAGCGAAAGCGGCUUCCUGGUCCAGCACCGACGUUCAGGCACGAAAGCGUGGGGAGCAAACAGG